AUUGAACGCUGGCGGCAUGCCUAACACAUGCAAGUCGAACGGUAACAGGGGCUUCGGCCCGCUGACGAGUGGCGGACGGGUGAGUAACGCGUAGGAAUCUUCCCAGUAGCGGGGGAUAGCUCGGCGAAAGCCGGAUUAAUACCGCAUACGCCCCACGGGGGAAAGCAGGGGAUCGUGAGACCUUGCACUAUUGGAUGAGCCUACGUCUGAUUAGCUAGUUGGUAGGGUAAAAGCCUACCAAGGCGACGAUCAGUAGCUGGUCUGAGAGGACGAUCAGCCACACUGGGACUGAGACACGGCCCAGACUCCUACGGGAGGCAGCAGUGGGGAAUAUUGGACAAUGGGCGCAAGCCUGAUCCAGCAAUGCCGCGUGUGUGAAGAAGGCCUGCGGGUUGUAAAGCACUUUCAGCGGGGAAGAAAGCUUAGGGUCAAUACCUCUAAGUCUUGACGUCACCCGCAGAAGAAG
rnacentral:rRNA from 1 species